AGGGUGUAAACGCUGCAGACUUGGUGUUGGGAACCCUUCGGGGGUGCUCAGUGCCGGAGAGAAGUUGUUAAGUCUGCUACUUGGGGAGUACGUCCGCAAGGAUGAAACUUAAAGGAAUUGGCGGGGGAGGCACCGCAACGGGAGGAGCGUGCGGUUUAAUUGGAUUCAACGCCGAAAAACUCACCAGCAGCGACUGUUACAUGAAAGUCAGGUUGAUGACCUUACUAGAUUUUCAGAGAGGAGGUGCCAUGGCGUCAGUGACU
rnacentral:rRNA from 1 species